GUAGGCCUCCCUGAAACCUGAACUCGAGUAGGCCCCAAGCAAGGAAGGAAGGAAGGAGGAAGCAGGCAGCAGACCCUCUGCCCAGACCAGACCAUCCAGAACAGCUAUUGCUAGGUUAAUGAGGCUAUAAAAAGGAAGAACUGAAAUGGCAAGCCAAUCAGAAAGGUCAAAGUGGCACAGUACACCACUAUUGCUGACAAAAUAUAUGAGACAUUAAAAUUUGGAUACCUCAUUCUUAGUGACAUGUAAUAAGAACUAUAGAGGAAAAUUUGCAGAAAAUCAUCCUGACAAAUUUCACUAGUCUCAUCCACAUUAUUUUAGCCUUAUACAAAAUUGUGGCUGCUGUGGGACCCUGAGAAGAACUUUCCUAAUUUACUCUGAAUUUUACUUAAGGCAAAAUUGCGUGGCAUCAACAGAAGACCAUUAUCUCCUGCUGUCAGAGCAGCUUGGCAACAUGAGAACGAGAAGAGGAAUAUUUGUCAGGCUUAUGCCA